CCUACGAGUGGCUGCAGUGGGGAAUAUUGCACAAUGGGGGAAACCCUGAUGCAGCGACGCCGCGUGAGUGAAGAAGUAGUUCGGUAUGUAAAGCUCUAUAAGAAGGGAAGAAAAUGACGGUACAUGAUAAAGAAGAUCCGGCUAACUACGUGCCAGAAGCCGCGGUAAUACGUAGGGGGCAAACGUUAUCAGGAUUUACUGGGUGUAAAGGGAGCGUAGACGGCAGCAGAAGUCUGUAGUGAAAUGCCGGGGCUUAACCCCGUAACUGCUUUGGAAACUGUGCAGCUAGAGUUCAGGAGAGGUAAGUGUAAUUCCUAGUGUAGCGGUGAAAUGCGUAGAUAUUAGGAGGAACACCAGUGGCGGAGGCGGCUUACUGGACUGUAACUGACGUUGAGGCUCGAAAGCGUGGGGAGCAAACAGGAUUAGAUACCCCAGUAGUC
rnacentral:rRNA from 1 species